ACUGAGGGGAUCGAUUACCAUAAUUAGCCCCAGAAGUCACUACUGUACAGAAGUGUGGGAACCAGGUGAAGCCAAGUCUCAGAGGAGGUUGAAAGUGGUGCUCUUGAAUCCAGAUGUACAGAGUGGGAAAUCACUGCCAUUGGAAGAGAACAAUGCAAGAAAGGCUUUGCUUUACCAGCCUGCACUACAAAGGAAAAAAGAAAACCUGAGACAGUACCGAACAUGUCUCUCGGAAAUAAAGGACUUCCGUUUUACUGAAUAGUAACAUCAAAUCAGAGAAGCUGCCUAUGGCUGGGCUCUAUGUAAAUAAAAGGAAUGUACUCUAUACCA
rnacentral:lncRNA from 1 species